GACGGGGGGGGCAAGUGUUCUUCGGAAUGACUGGGCGUAAGGCGCACGUAGGCGGAUUGGCAAGUUAGGGGUGAAAUCCCGGGGCUCAACCCCGGAACUGCCUUUAAAACUGCCGGUCUUGAGUUCGAGAGAGGUGAGUGGAAUUCCGAGUGUAGAGGUGAAAUUCGUAGAUAUUCGGAGGAACACCAGUGGCGAAGGCGGCUCACUGGCUCGAUACUGACGCUGAGGUGCGAAAGCGUGGGGAGCAAACAGG
rnacentral:rRNA from 1 species